rnacentral:lncRNA from 1 species
GAACCUGAGAGCCCUUGACUAAACUGACAACCUCAGAAAAAUAAAAGUCACAAGAUGAAUAAGUAAUGUCACAAGUUUCUGUUGAUUUUCCAUUGUUCCUGUGUCUAUUUUGGAUUAUUCAAAGUGAUCGUGAUUUUUUUUUAUCAAUUUUUAAGCAUUUUUCAAAACAAUGCAUGUUUACUUUAAAAAAAUACUUUAUUUGAUAAAGUCUUCCUUAGACCCUUUCCCAACUCUGCCUGCCUGCCUGCUAGUCUCCUUUGAUAAUAGGUUUUUUUUUUCUUUUGGUCUUGUUUUUUUGCAUGUGCAUGUGUAUAUAUGUGGUGUGCAUAUGUAUGUAUCUGUGAGUAUGAAGGCCAGAGAUUGACAGUUGACAUAAAAUGUCGUCUUAAUCACUUCCCACCAUUUUUAUUGGGGCAGGUCUCUCAGUUGAACCUGAAGCUUGAUGAUCAGCUCAUUCACCCAGCCAGCUUGCUCUGGCUGGGGUCUGAACCUCCCAUGCUAGGCAAGUCUUCUACCACUGAGCUACAACUCCCAGCACUUUUGUUUUCUUUUGAGACAGGAUCUCACACAGUCACUCAGGCUACAACUGACUCAGCAGCUCAGAAGGCCUCAGCCUCCCAAUAG